UUCUGGGUUAUUUUCCCUUAUCUGUGGUGCAGUGCGCAACAUUAAUGAUCCCCUCCAUCUUCAUAUUUCAAUUUGCUAACGUAAUGGUUCGACUGCAUCAGCGCCGCUGUAUGGAUGCCAAGGCCAUCCAGCACAGUUCGCUGGGGGCGCAAUGGUCCAGCGCAGUGCUGGAGCACAGUAUUCGGUAUGAGUAAAAAUCCGAAUGUUUUCCAAAUUCUCAAGACUUAUGCAAAGUGUCCUUUGUAAAUAUCUACUGAUAACUGCAAUAUAUGGUAACACAUUUUUUUUUCUUUAAAAAAAAUUUUAUAGAAAUAUUCGAAAAAUAGUGUGCUAGGAACAUUUUUGACAGAUUUAUGAACCACCUGCAUCGGAACAGUACUGUUUUGUGAAUGUGACAUGCUUAUUAAUGACAGGUAGAAAGUUUGUCAUGUAGAUGUUGUUACUGUGAGCCCAACAGUCGUCUCUGGCUCGCUGUCUCUCGCCGCUCCGCAAGUGUCAGCCCCUCCAGCGGCGGCGGCGUCUGAGAGCUCACCCUUUUUUCAAUAGCUUAAGGGAAGACUCAAUGUAAAGUGUUUACAAAUUUGGGUUGUAGAACAGAUGUAAAUUAAUUAUGGCUCCUAGAUAGGAAUUGCUUUUUUAAUUCAUUUUUGUAAGCCAAGAUGAUUUAGUAUAAAAAAACAAAUUUAAGUUUCAAAUGUGCCUUCCAAACUUUAGCACCCAUGAAUUUUAUGCUGAUGGCAGAUAUUUGUCAGGACAUUGAGUUUUGGUAAUCUGGUGAAGAGCUUAGAUUUUGUUUUUUCUUUUUUUUUUUUAUAUAUAUAUAUAUAUAUAUAUAUAUAUAUAUGUGUGAAGUUACCUGCUGGAUUUUCAGUUAUCUCACUCAAGGUUAUCUUUGUGUGUUACAGGUUUAGGUGGUGCUGGUAAUGUGGAGUUGUAAGGGGUGCUCAGAAAAAGUGUCAAAUAAAUGCUGAGUUUAAGAGAAUUACGACCAUACCGCUUCAUUCAAAGUUCUUCUCUCAACUGGAUCUCCACUGUGACAACCUGAGGAAGCUCUUCAAAAGAAGAGGACAGCUCGGACAAAAGCUUAGACAAAUUGUUGCACAAAUGGAUGAUUGUGAAGAUGUUGAUGUUGCACGGGAGUGUGUCAUUAAGGGAGUCUGCAUAUAUAUGGGAGAAGAUCCAGCCAAGCUCAUCCAUAAAUAUGUGGGUGUGGAUGAAGCUAAUAUUGAAGAGGGUAUUGGAGCCACCACCAUCGGUGUUUUUCAUCUUAAAGACUGUUCUUCAGCAGAUGAAGACAUCGGGGUCGUUCUUGAAGGCAUCAGAGUGUUGUCCAAUUUGGAUAGUGUGCCAACAGCUGUUGCAAUGCUUUUUGGACUGAUAUAUGCAAUGAACCUCGCCUACCCUGCUGACCUCCGCUACACUUUCGAGGUAUUACAGAAAAUAGUAAUGGAACUGGAUGGAGGUAAACUGUCAAACAAGGCAUUGUCCCUUAAAAACCACCUCUAUGAGUGAAUAUUGAUUUUCUCAUGUUUAAUUUGGUAAUGUUCUCAUGUUCAGUUUUUGUAUUUCUUGUUGUAUUCUUUAUUGGAGGACACAAAUGUAUUUUUUUAAUGAGGAACGUUCACCUGAAAGACUGGGCUUCAGCAGCUUUUACGUUCCAGUAUGUAGUGCUACUUAUAACACUACUGCUACUUAGUGUUACAAAUAUGUUAAAGAAAUUUGCUAUAAAAGUUACAUUACACUGAUUUAUUGUCAUGCAAAUUACAUGUUCAGAAUUGUUUUAGAAAUUUUACAUACUUUUCUAAAUCAUUUUGUCUUUCAUAUUAAUAUCUUAUAGAUAAACUUUUAAGAUGUAGUGUUUCCCUUGUAAAAAAAUGUUCUUGUUUUUACACA